GUAGGUGGCAAGCGUUGUCCGGGAAUUAUUGGGGCGUAAAGCGCGCGCAGGCGGUUCUUUAAGUCUGAUGUGAAAGCCCACGGGCUCAACCGUGAGGGUCAUUGGAAACUGGAGAACUUGAGUACAGAAGAGGAAAGCGGAAUUCCACGUGUAGCGGUGAAAUGCGUAGAGAUGUGGAGGAACACCAGUGGCGAAGGCGGCGUUUCUGGUCUGUAACUGACGCUGAGGCGCGAAAGCGUGGGGAGCAAACAGGAUUAGAUACCCUGGUAGUCCACGCCGUAAACGAUGAGUGCUAAGUGUUAGGGGGUUUCCGCCCCUUAGUGCUGCAGCUAACGCAUUAAGCACUCCGCCUGGGGAGUACGGCCGCAAAGGCUGA
rnacentral:rRNA from 1 species